rnacentral:rRNA from 1 species
UACGUAGGGUGCGAGCGUUAAUCGGAAUUACUGGGCGUAAAGCGUGCGCAGGCGGUCUGUUAAGACAGAUGUGAAAUCCCCGGGCUUAACCUGGGAAUGGCGAUGGAGACUGCGAGGCUAGAGUUUGGCAGAGGGGGGGUAGAAUUCCACGUGUAGCAGUGAAAUGCGUAGAGAUGUGGAGGAACACCGAUGGCGAAGGCAGCCCCCUGGGUCGAAAACUGACGCUCAUGCACGAAAGCGUGGGGAGCAAACAGG